UUGAAACUAUCGGUAAGGGUUGUGGCUGGCCUCUCGGGGCAUGUGCACACCUGAACCCUUUAAUCCACACACACCUGUGAACCCAAUGUAAGGGCCUGUAACAAGGCCCCUACGUCUUAUCACAAACCCUUUGCAUGUUUUCAUAGAAUGUUAUUUAUAUCUUCGCCUUAAAGCGUUGGUAAACCUAUA
rnacentral:misc_RNA from 1 species